rnacentral:rRNA from 1 species
AGUGACGGUUAACGGGGGAUUAGGGUUCGAUUCCGGAGAGGGAGCCUGAGAAACGGCUACCACAUCUAAGGAAGGCAGCAGGCGCGCAAAUUACCCAAUUCUAACAGCAUAAGAGAGGUAGUGACAAGAAAUAACAAUACAAGGUAAUUAAAUUGCUUUGUAAUUGGAAUGAUAGAAAUUUAAACACUUUUUAAAGUAUCAAUUGGAGGGCAAGUCUGGUGCCAGCAGCCGCGGUAAUUCCAGCUCCAAUAGCGUAUAUUAAAAUUGUUGCAGUUAAAAAGCUCGUAGUUGAAUUUCUGUUAAAAAUAACCGGUCUGCUUUUAUUAAAAGUGGUAUCUUGGUGUGUUUUUAGCAAUAAUGUCCUUUGAAAUGUUUUUUACUUUAUUGUAAUAAGUCAUUAUUUUGAGGAUUUUUACUUUGAGAAAAUUAGAGUGUUUCUAGCAGGCUUACGCUUUUGAAUACUGCAGCAUGGAAUAAUAAGAUAGGAUUUUAGUUCUACAUUAUUGGUUUUAAGAACUAAAUUAAUGAUUGAUAGGGAUAGUUGGGGGCAUUUGUAUUUAACUGUCAGAGGUGAAAUU